rnacentral:rRNA from 1 species
GACGAACGCUGGCGGCGUGCUUAACACAUGCAAGUCGAACGGAAAGGCCCUGCUUUUGUCGGGUGCUCGAGUGGCGAACGGAUGAGUAACACGUGAGUAACCUGCCCUUGACUUUGGGAUAACUUCAGGAAACUGGGGCUAAUACCGGAUCGGCGCUCCUGCUGCAUGGCGGGGGUUGGAAAGUUUCGGCGGUUGGGGAUGGACUCGCGGCUUAUCAGGAUGUUGGUGGGGAAGUGGCUUACCAAGGCUUUGCCGGGUAGCCGGCCUGAGAGGGUGACCGGCCACAUUGGGACUGAGGUACGGCCCAGACUCCUACGGGGGGCAGGAGUGGGGAAUAUUGCACAAUGGGCGGAAGCCUGAUGCAGCAACGCCGCGUGCGGGAUGACGGCCUUCGGGUUGUAAACCGCUUUCGCCUGUGACGAAGCGUGAGUGACGGUAAUGGGUAAAGAAGCACCGGCUAACUACGUG